CACGCAACUCUUGUUCCCGUUUGACCGGGACAUGAAAGUUGAGAAAACUCUCAUGCAACCUCUCACUUCUCAACUCUCAUGCAACUCUUGUUCUCGUUUGACCAGCUAGGACUUGAUGAGAGUUGAGAAGCGAGAGUUUGCAUGAGAGUUUUCUCAACUUUCAUGUCCCGGUCAAACGGGAACAAGAGUUGCGUG